rnacentral:lncRNA from 1 species
CUCUCCCUUCCCAGCUUCUCUGAGUUUUCUUUCCCUUCUACGAUCUGGCAAAGGGCCUGCCGUAAAAACUGCCUCUGCAGACAGAGGAGGCCUCUGGGGCUGGUGCUUCUCUGUGAUGUGCCAGCUGCUUCUCCCCUUCUUCCCAGGCAGCGUGGUACCUGUCCAUUGCUGCUAACAGUGGAAAAUUCAGAGGUUUUCUUGGGGAAAGGAUGAAUCUGGACUUUCCAACCCUUGGAUGACACCUUCACAUGCAGCCCACAAGGCCUCUGCUGAAUGUCACUUGCAGCCUAACGAGAAAGCCAUUCCUGGCACUAGAUAAUCGAUGGUCGUGGUUUGUUUUCAAAGCUCCUGGUAAAUUAGGUCUCCUGGAAGGCACCUUCCCCGAACCUUCCCCCACUGUAUUUAUGCUUAAUUCUUUUCAUUUUUCAUUGCUUCCCCAAAUUAAAUUUAUGUGUGCACUUGGCAAAUUGUUGCCAUUAGUGUAAACAUUCACUACAAGACAUUCCCCAAGUUCUGGUGCCUAGAGAUAUCGUAGUAAAAUGAAUUGUUCUCCCC